rnacentral:rRNA from 1 species
CCCUUAGAUGUUCUGGGCCGCACACGCGCUACACUGAAGGAGGCAGCGUGUACUCCUGGAUCGAAAGAUUUGGGUAACCCGCGAAUCUCCUUCGUGCUAGGGAUUGAGGUUUGCAAUUAUCCUUCAUGAACGAGGAAUUCCCAGUAAGUGCAAGUCAUAAGCUUGCACUGACUACGUCCCUGCCCUUUGUACACACCGCCCGUCGCUACUACCGAUUGAAUGAUUUAGUGAGGACUUCGGACUGGGACCGAUGCGGCUUUCGGGCUGCGUCGGUAUUCUGGAAAGAUGUCCAAACUGUAUCAUUUAGAGGAAGUAAAANUCGUANCA